rnacentral:rRNA from 1 species
AACGUAGGAGACAAACGUUAUCCGGAGUUACUGGGCGUAAAGGGCGUGUAGGUGGUCUCGUAAGUCUGGCGUGAAAUUUCUCGGCUUAACCGAGGCAGGUCGUCGGAUACUGCGAGGCUAGAGGACGGUAGAGGCGUGUGGAAUUCCUGGUGUAGCGGUGAAAUGCGCAGAUAUCAGGAGGAACACCGAUGGCGAAGGCAGGUCUCUGGGCAUUAACUGACGCUGAGGAGCGAAAGCAUGGGGAGCGAACAGG